rnacentral:rRNA from 1 species
GGGGCAGUGUUACCAGGGGAAAUGAAGACGUGCUGCGUCUUCGGAUGUGGUGGGCGCAAUCACGACGGGGUGUCGCAUUUUAAAUUUCUGGGAGGAUUGACAGACUGAGACCUUCGGGGCCCAGUGCGGUAUCGCAAACCUGCUCGGAGACGCCAAUGCGAGCCCCGGGAAGAGUUUUCUCUUCUCUGUAAGGAGAUCGAGUCCCUGGAAUGGGUUCGCCCCGAGAUAGGGUUGGUGGCUCCGUAGAGCAGUGCGUCUCUUGCGCUGUCCGGUGCGCUCGCGUCGGCCCUGUAAAAUCCGAGUGAGGGAGUGGGAUUUCCGUGCCGGACCGUACCCACAUCCGCAGCAGGUCUCCAAGGUGAACAGCCUCU